UGUUACAACAUGUUAAAUCAUUUAACUAAUAAAUAACAGAAUUUAUUAUAAUAAAACAUUAUAGGCCUAUUAUAAAAUAUUUUUUAUUUCAUAAUGCCUUUUUUUCGUCAUUUUUUUUUCUAUUUUCAUCAAACAGACCUUGAUCAUGUGGAAUGUCAUGAACAUACUUUUAAAAGCCUUGAAAUAACAGCAGCUACAAAAAAAUUAUAUCUACAUUUGGGAUUUAAAUUCCAUAACAGGUUUAUCCAUGAAACGAGUAAAUUAAACCAACUUUACAUAAUCAAAUGGAUGAUGAUGACGAUGGCAUUAGACUCACAGAAAUAGAUUUCAAAUGUCGCUGUGAUGUACCUUUAAUUAGAUUUUAAAGUAAGGCUAAAAAGGCAGAUCAGCGGUCCUUAAAGUACUUUAAAUUAUUUUAAAGCUGUACCAUAUUUCUGUUUGCAGGUUAAAUAUACUAAAGCUAUGAAACCGCUUCUAAAAAUAAUAAAUUCUUCCCUUUGCAGUAACUAUGCACCUAAAUCAUUUAAACUAGCAGUUAUCAAAAUCUUGAUUCAAAAAUCUGACCUCGACCCCUGUCAACUGUCCAGCUAUAGACAAAUAUCAAAUCUCCUCUUUAUGUCCAAGAUCUUAGAAAACGUUGUACAUUUACAUAGGAAAGUGUAUACUUCUUUGUAUACUUACUGUCACGUAUCGUGACGGAGCGGAGAUAGGACAGAUGCACGUGCAGUAUGAACCGUGUUUAUUUUCAAAGAGAGACAGGCAGACAAAUCCAAAACGUAAUCCAAAACAGGCACAGGUCAGGCGAUCGGCAAACAGGCAUACACAGGGUUAAACAUGAAUCAAGGUCGUGGUCACAGAAAACAGGGUCGAUUAACAAAACGAGAAACAUGAACUAUGACGAGGAACUGAGAGCGGAUAAUCCAGUGUGAACUAACUCUAAACAAGGAACGUGACUAUGACUACUAAACAAACUAAUCUAACUCUACAAUAAUCUUCCGCGUUGUGUGCUGGGAGGCACGCGGUAUAUAAGUGGACAUGAACAGCGUCUAAACUGCUAGCAGCUGAGGUCAAUACAGACACACGUGAAAUCCCAGCCAAUGACAGAACAGGGAGGAGACAUGACAGAAACAUAAACAAAACACACGUGUCCAGAUGUCACCACUGUCAACAAUGGAAAAGCAGGUGCUCGCGCAUUCGCGCUUAGAGCACGCUGCUUCAAGGGGGAAUCAUGACACUUACAUAGGAACAACAUUCCUGAAAUGUACCAGUCAGUAUUUAGGCCUCACCAUAGCACAGAGACAGCGCUGGUUAAAGUAGUAAAUGACCUACUACUAACCUCUGAUCAGGGUUGUGUCUCCUUGCUUGUGUUACUUGACCUUAGUGUAGCUUUUGAUACUAUGGAUCAUAUUAUUCUCCUUGAUAGAUUAGAAAAUGUUGUUGACAUUAAGGGAAUGGCUGUUGGUUGGCUGUGUCAACAGACUCAGGCGUGAGCAGAACAUGCUUGUCUGUGUCAGCAGACUCGGGCAUGAGAAGAUCUUGGUUGGUCGUGAUGUCGGCUUCAGGCGUGAGUAGAACCUGGUUGGUCAUGACGUCAGCUUCAGACAUGAGCAGAUCCUGGUUGGUCAUGACGUUGGCUUCAGACGUGAGCAUAACUUGGUUGGUCGUGACUUCGGUUUCAGGCAUGAGGAGAAGUUGGUUGGUCAUGUCAACAGACUCAGGCGUGAGCAUAACUUGGUUGUCCAUGUCAGCGACCUUGGACUGGAACUUGGUGUGGGUGAUCGGCUCGUCGAUCUCAGACUGGAACUUGGUACGGAAGGUCACAUCGUCGAUCUCAGAGUGGAACUUGACAUGGGAGGUCACCUUGUUGACCUUUAGCUGAACUUGCCAUGGAAGGUCAUAUCGUCGAUCUCAGAUUGGAACCUGUCUUGGGAGGCUGUCUCUUCACCUUUAUUUUUUCGACCCCUUUCUACGUCUAGGGGUCAGAAUGAACAUGGGCACAGAGGGAGAGUAAUGUGACUGAAACAUUCAUCAUUCUCAAGUAUAUGAAACCAUGAGUGAAAUUUUCAACAGA
ensembl:lncRNA